rnacentral:misc_RNA from 1 species
AGAUGCCGAUGGCCACACCCACGCCCACACGACCAUUUCCGCAAACGACCAUCCGUGUAUUAUCAUCGACUCGAAAAGGUGCUUCUUUCUCUGUUUGUUGGGUUCGCUGUCCUGCUCUAUCUUCUUGAUCCUUCACAGGGCUCACCUUCAACUCUCGCUCUUUCACGCUCUAGGCCUGUGGCUCGUCCAUCUUUGCUCCCCUUUUCUUUUUUUUCUUGUUCCCCCUUCCCCUAUUCUCCUUUCCCACGUUGGCAGGUGUUUCACACCGCUCGACUUGUUUUCGAACUGCUGAAGAAGUCAAAGAGCAGAUCAACCAGAGCGACAGAUCUUUUUCUUUUCGGUCUUUCAGUUGUGUGGAAGUCCGGGGUGCUUCCCAGACUAACUUGCCGUCUUUUCUGUCGCCAUUUACUUGUGAGCAGCGCCGUCUCUCCUCUCUACGUCUUCGCAUCUGUCUCACCGGCGCUUGUGGGGAGACACGCACGUGCAGACGCACACACACGCACACACACAUACGCGUAUAUAUGCAGGUCUAGAAACGAUUCACUCAUACACUUGGCCCCUUUACCAUCUCGAUACACCCACGCACAAAUCGUUCGCAAAGCAACCCCAGGCACAGCGGCAGUGAGACGCAACUUCUCAAUUGUAAGCGUUGAAGUUUCCUUCAACGUGGAGCACAUACGCACGUGCCUACACAAGCACAGUUAUACACAUACCUGCACCUGCGCAGAGCAGUGGCAGAAGGUAAUAAUAAUAACGAGUAGUAAGUGCUUUUCAUCUUUUUUGCUUUCUCACUCUUCGGCCGCCCCUGUUUCACUUUUCGCGGGACUUCUAUCGUUUUCUCGCUCUCUCGGCCUGCCUGUCUGUCCUUCUCUUGUCCGCCUUUCGACCCACCUUUUUUUUUCCAUAGCCCCCCUCCCCCCCUGCUACCCUCGGUCGAAGGCCAGCCGGGCCUUGAGCACGGCACCUUUGUUAUUAGGCUGCUUUCUCGUAUUGUUCGGGGGCUUCCCAUCUCUUGUGCUGCCUUUUCUUCGUCGGGCUCCUCCUUUCGUUUUGAGUUUUACGACCCCCCUCCCGCCGCUGUUUCGCCCGUUCUGCUCUCCGUGCGGCGGGCGUGGCUUCCUUUUUGAACAUCUGUGUGCGUGUGUGUGUGGUUCCUUUUUUCCCUCUCAGCUCGUCUCUCUUUGCUGCCAAAGCUGCUGCCGCUGCAACCAUCUUCACCGUUUUCCCUCCCUAGCUCCGUUACCGACGCGACGCUUCACAGCGCGGACUUCCUCAACAUCGCGCUUGUGAGACCGAUGGAGAGCGGACAUGCCGACGCGGGCGCGUCAGGCCGGCGCCACCACAGGUUAGGUACGCUUCGAAGGCUGUUCCACAAGAGCCCGUCCAGUCGCAGCAUGACGUCGCAAAGCGAUGCGACGUCUCCACUUUCGGUAGGCCGUAGGGGCAGCAGCCUCGGCGCUGCACAGAAUCCGGAGGGGUUGGAGGACCACAUGCAGAACAGCAUCUAUGCCGGGACAGACACCUGCAUGGACUGCGGCUUCACCCGCGGCAGCAGCGUGUGCUGCCCGGUCACCCGUCGUCACCACGGCACCGAUGAGCUUAUCGCGUCUGGCAGACAUCGCAUCAGUCACAGUCGCUUCUCCUCCGCCUCCAAGGGCAUCUUUACAAAGGUAUGGGGCAAACACCCUAUACCGCAUGCUCGGCAACCUGCCCAUCUCACACGAGUGAACCAUGGGGGUAUUACGCCGACCGCCGAAGCGCUGCAUCCCUUGGCCCUGGGCGCAGAAGAUGCCACCGCCGAGGGCACAAACGGGGAUUCACGUGAGGCGGACACGCCACGCAUCGGCGGUGCGGGUGACCUUGUGAGUUUGAAGAGCGGCAUAGAGGACCGCGAAAACGGCGACUCUGCGCAUCAGCACAACGGAAUCGACGCGCGCGAGGACAGCGGCGGAGUAGAUGAGGCUGUCGGCCAGGGGGGCGGCGAGGUGCAGUACUACUGCUACACGGACGAGAAAGGCGACACGUACUGGUACGUGCAGGAGCUGCAGGACUCGAUGCAACCGCAGCAACCCGCCGCCGACGCGGAGGCGGCGCACACGAGUUCACAGGCGACCACGUACUACUAUGAGUCUCAGACAGGGCAGUAUUGGAUAGGCGGCUCAGUGCCAGAGGGAUCUUACGUGUGCGAGUACGUGGACGAGAACGGUCAGACGGUGUACUACCUCUACACGCCAGAGAUGGAUGGCGCCCAAGACAACACCGCAGCCACUCCUCAGCUGACGCAGGACACCAACAAUGACGGCACGACCUCUACGCCGGCCAUCGCGGCUACGGGGUCGCACGUCGCCUCUAAGGAAGCGGUCAACGCCGCUGCGCCGUCUAAGCGAAAGACUCCAGGGGCGUUCUUUGCGGCCAUCAAGGGCGUUUUCAAGCCCCACCGCAGCCGCCACACCCGCUACGUAAAUGACGACCUCGUUGCCCAUGAUGGUGACGACGCGGAUCCCUCCUUUUUCGUGACAGACUCAGAUGUGGAGCCACCAGCCCCGCUGGGGACGGUGAUCAGUGAGACUCUCAUGACCCCCCGCAAUAGUGAGGUGAACCUUUCUGACAAUGACGAGGAGGAGUUCCUGGAGAUCCUCGACGCGGCAGAGAGAAAACGAUUGAGGAAUGAGUGCAAGCGCCGCAUUAAGGAGCUCGCCGCGAGCGAGAAGAAGGAACGGGAGAUCAUCAUGAAGGAGCGACGCGAUGACAUGGCGACGCUAGGACGGGAAAAACGUGCGGAGGCAUUUGUGCUCCGCAAUUUCGAGAGUCUCAUCACGAAAAGGCCGAAGCGCGUGUAGCCUAUUUAGGGAACAUUUUCUUGUCAACGUGUUCAUGCCACCACGAGCACGCCCACAAACGUACACACGCAUACACAACCACAGCGCACAUACCUCUGCUGUACCACGGCUACAUUCUGGCCCUCUAGGACGAAACCAUCUGCCGCUGAAUCGGGUCACGCGCCUAGCGGGCACUUCAUGACCUUCAUCGUUCUCUCCUCGGUUACGUGCUGUGCGAUGGGCGCGAGAUGGACCUGGUUGCAUCACACGCUCUGAUCCAGGCGGGACGUGCUCAGGGUCCUGCUCGAGGGCAGAAAGCGGUGGUGCCUGGCGUGCAUGUAACAGGGUGUUGUCCAGGCGCAUGCCGGAUGGGCUCAAGGAAACAGUUGGCCAGCCGCAGGCCAGGGCCCACUGAGACCCCCUUGCACACUCUGCCCGCAUGCCGUGCUUCGCCCUUUCAGUGGCUUCAAGCCGUGGCAUCCCAUAAUCUGCUCCGGAGGCCCGUCACAUUCGGGUCUGGAGGACUCGAUGGUGCCAGUCUGGGGUGUUCUCGUCACGCCUCCGGCAUCUGUGCCGCAUCAGCCUACCCGGUCGGAUGUAGGGCGUAUGCCGCAUGCUUCGCGCACAUGCACUUUGGGGUUGAUCGGCGCGGAUCUCCUCGCGCCGUUUCCGUGCAUCGCUCGUACUCCGCUGACCUCUGGAUGCUUUGCUUGGAUGCGAAACACCAUGCUGGCUGUGCAUGGCAGCGCGUGCGCACAAUGAUCACACUAGUGGAUCUUGGGGCCUGCUACGGGGGCGGCGUUGCUGCCUCGGGGGGCGUGGUUGGACGGCCUGCGCGCAUGUGCCGUGACAGGUGGGACGCGCCGCCGUUAGUCUGUGGCAGCGGGAGCACCUCGCCUUCUCCGGAGCCCGCACGCCUUUGACGGGAGUGGGUGUUUCAAUAUUUGUCGAAUAAUCAAAACGAUGCGUAGUGAGCGGGCACAGACGUGAUCGUGGCCGCGAGUCUCUUCAGCACGGUGCCGGCUCAGACCUGUGUGCCGACACCAAGAGUCCGCCAGCGGCGCCGUGGACCAGGCUGCAGGCUCCUGACUUCCCCACAAAGAGUGGGCACUCGACCCUGAGAUGCCACGCACUGAGGCUGCCGGCAUCAUGUGGGCUAUUUAGAGAUUGAGCACGGAAAAAAAAGUGCGCACGCAGUUUUCUGCGUAAGCAUCGUUGGUGAAGUGUGUGAUAGUGGUACAUAGGAUACUGUGACUGAGGGAGGUAAUCUUGUCUGUGUGGGCCAGAUUUGAAGAUGACCCUGGGGAAGGCGGAGAGGUGGGGGAGGGGAGUAUGAGUACACGCGUGCGUAUAACACGCGUGCACUCCUCGGACUCCUUUUCUCCGCGGAUCUGCGUGGCGUGUCCGCACUGUUGUUGCGUCACUCUUUUUUGCUGGCGAAGAGAAGAAACCGACAGCAACUUGCAAACGCAUUUGCGAACAUAGUUCAAUAUACCAAUGCCGUACAGCUGCUCUUAGUUUGUCCCCCAUCACCCCCGAUAAUGAGACGCGAGCCUUAGUUCUUGUCCACUGCCUUCUCUCCUUUUGUUCCCUCCGUGAAAGCUGCAUGUGUGUGCAUGGAUGUUUGCGUUGUGAAUCUGCUCUUUUCCCAUCUUCUCUGUUUGUCUAGCGUCCUCUCGUCCUCCUGCCUCUCUUAGUGGCUGCCGUGUAACCUUUUCGUGUGCAGGAGUCGGUGAUGUGGAUGGUGUGUGUGUGUGCUUUUUUUUUGCUGUUGCAUGUCGUUUCACUUCGUCACUCUUCUUGCUCCAACCCUCUUUUUGACUCCUCACGGUCUUGCCUCCUCUUCCUCCUCCUUUCCCUGCUUGCCUGUCUCCUUGAACCCCCCGCUCGUUAGUGCUGUGCCCUUUUUUUUCCCUCCCAAGGCGCAUUUCCCCUCUUCCCUCCGUGAUUCGUCGAUGUCCGCGCGCGUCUCUGAUGUUGAAUAGACGAAGGGUACACGACAGACUUCAUGACACUUUAUCGAUUUCCUUUUCGUUAAAGCCAAGUGCAUGUUGCCCCUUCUUCCGCCUUCGUGCGCGUCUUUUUUUCUCCAUGGUGCCCUUCCGCAUUUACUACUUUUCUCACCCCCGUUGUACUUUACUUUCAUCGGUGUCGUUUGCGUGUGCACUCUCUUCGCCUGCUAACCACUCUUUCCUGUGUGCGUGCGUGUGGUUCUCUCUCCUUCGUUUGCCUUUGAGUUACUCAGCGUUGCUCUCGUUGCGUGAUCUCGCUUUCUCACAGCUGUUCUCUCUUGUUGGCUCGACUCCACACGGUGACACAUG